AUCCCCCACGCAUCACAAUGACCCCACUAGGGUGGCACGUGUAUGACCAGACACUGCAGCUCCUGCAGUUACACCAUCUGCCCCUCCCGGCUCCAGCUGGCCUUUCCUCUUUCCUCACUCCUUUCCAUUACCAUUCAGUAGAGGCUGUUUCAAGCAGAUGCACCAGGCAUCCUUAUACACCGUGGUGAAAGUGGUGCCAACGCAGCUAGCUACCGCUCAACCCAGCUGCUUCCUGCACUAUAGGAGCAGCCCGCAGGAAUCUCCCAUAAACUGUGUGAGAAUCCACUCAUGCCCCCUUCACCUCCUCUCGGCAAGUACUCUGUGUACCUUCUAUUCCAUUCUCCCGAUCGUAUUGAUACUGCCUCAGUUAAAGUAGACCAUCCCCCCUCUCCCAAAGUCCUUCCUGGAAUACAGGAGCAGUGAGGGCUGAAGGGAAGAAAGAUGCUAAACUUCUGGGCAAGAGGCUUGCCCCAAAGAUAAGACUCCUUGGGAACAUGCCUCUUGGGAACUUCUGAUCAGCACUUACAUAAGGAAGGCCUUCACCCACCUUCAGUCUUCAAGAGGUCAUCAACUAAUAACAAGCAGCUGGACGCUUACAGUACCAACACGGACCCCAGGGUUGAGACACCUCUGAACAAAUCUGGUAAGGUCAAGCUCGGUUUUUCUCAGUCCGCUUCAAUCUAGCAACCAAUUCGUAUAUCCAGGAGUAAGUCCCUCCUCACGCGGUGCUCAGUCCUGUGCGGCGCUCGGGAGUUUACAAGCUCUCUAGGGAAGCCAAACACACAAGCCACAGAGAACAAU